rnacentral:ncRNA from 2 species
ACACUAAAUAGAGGUGCGCCGAAGAAGAGUAAGCCUUUUCGUAAUCUGCCAGGGGGCAGGAGAAGGAAGAAAGGCUAAAGCGCCGAAGCUUAUGCUAUGCCCCUACGUAGCACAGGCUGGGGUGUUUCAUGAAAAAUGAACAUCCUGUCACAAGGGACCUUACAUCUUUUUGUGGAGCGCUAUUUAUGAU